AUUGAACGCUGGCGGCAGGCCUAACACAUGCAAGUCGAACGAGUGGCGGACGGGUGAGUAAUGUCUGGGAACCUGCCUGAUGGAGGGGGAUAACUACUGGAAACGGUAUCUAAUACCGCAUACCAUCAGAUGUGCCCAGAUGGGAUUAGCUAGUAGGUGGGGUAAAGGCUCACCUAGGCGACGAUCCCUAGCUGGUCUGAGAGGAUGACCAGCCACACUGGAACGUAGACACGGUCCAGCACCCUAAGGGAGGCAGCAGUGGGGAAUAUUUCACAAUGGGCGCAAGCCUGAUGCAGCCAUGCCGCGUGUAUGAAGAAGGCUUUCGGGUUGUAAAGUACUUGCAGCGGGGAGGCGUUACCCGCAGAAGAAGCACCGGCUAACUCCGUGCCAGCAGCCGCGGUAAUAC
rnacentral:rRNA from 1 species